CUGUCGUCAGCUCGUGUCGUGAGAUGUUGGGUUAAGUCCCGCAACGAGCCGCAACCCUUGUCGUAUGUUGCCAGCACGUUAUGGUGGGAACUCAUGCGAGACUGCCGGUGUCAAACCGGAGGAAGGUGGGGAUGACGUCAAGUCCUCAUGGCCCUUAUGGUAGGGCUUCACACGUCAUACAAUGGUCGGUACAGAGGGUUGCCAACCCGCGAGGGGGAGCUAAUCCACAAAGCCGAUCGCAGUCCGGAUCGCAGUCUGCAACUCGACUGCGUGAAGUCGGAAUCGCUAGUAAUCGUGGAUCAGCAUGUCACGGUGAAUACGUUCCCGGGUCUU
rnacentral:rRNA from 1 species